rnacentral:rRNA from 1 species
UUUUGGACGAUGGGGGCAACCCUGAUCCAGCAAUGCCGCGUGAGUGAAGAAGGCCUUCGGGUUGUAAAGCUCUUUUGUCAGGGAAGAAACACCGGCUCUAACACAGUCCGGGAAUGACGGUACCUGAAGAAUAAGCACCGGCUAACUACGUGCCAGCAGCCGCGGUAAUACGUAGGGUGCAAGCGUUAAUCGGAAUUACUGGGCGUAAAGCGUGCGCAGGCGGUUAUACAAGACAGGCGUGAAAUCCCCGGGCUUAACCUGGGAAUGGCGCCUGUGACUGUAUAGCUAGAGUGUGUCAGAGGGGGGUAGAAUUCCACGUGUAGCAGUGAAAUGCGUAGAUAUGUGGAGGAAUACCAAUGGCGAAGGCAGCCCCCUGGGAUAACACUGACGCUCAUGCACGAA